rnacentral:lncRNA from 1 species
CGAGUGACAGGUAAGGGCUCUGAACCUUCCUGCGUGCUACCCAAGGAGUGCCUAGGGCUACCAGGAGGCCCAGGGAGGAACCUUGAGACCUGAGAAAGGCUUUUCUUCCCCGAGAGGACCACUGCUCAGGCUCAGAGGCCAUGGGGUGAAGUGCACAAAAAAGUGGGCGUCCAGCCAUGCUCUAAGUCCCCCGAAGAUGAAGACCAGGGAGCAGCUUCCUCCAAUGAAGCAGCAGCAAUCAGAGGACCAGGAGGCUGAAGCCCUGAGCCCAGCCAGAGGCAGGAUCAGCCAAGUCUGGGACAGGCUUCAAUUAUUUUAGGCAGAGCUUCUGGUUCCUGGGCCUUCAGACUUGGACUAGAACUUCACUACCAGCUUUCCUGGGUCUCCAGCUUGCAGAGAGCAGAUCGCAGAACUUCUUAGCCUCCAUAAUCACAAGAACGUGUUUGCUUCCCCUUCCACCAUGAUUGUAAGUUUCCUGAGGCCUCCCCAGUCCUGCAGAACUGCUUUGAAGAAGACCACUGCGUCGGUAUUUGUGAAAUGUUUUGAGCCUCUGGAUUUAAAUAAGAUGGAAAACCAAAGCUCAGGGAGUUUUACAUGGGCAGGCAGCUGGUGAGGGCUGAGACUGGAGCCAGGCCAGUGGUCUUCAAAGGCUUUAGUCAAACUUUUUGACAGAUAUAAGAAAACCGAACUAAGGAAAAUACUUUCCUGGGAUCAUCCCUAUAUGAAGUGGCAGACCUGGAAUUGCUCCCUGUUUCAAAACAUGUUGGCACCGCUUCUGUUGCUUCCAGGAAGAUUGCAUACACAUGUAAAACCGGAAAAACGUUAAUGAAGAGAAAAACUAAAAGCUCCCGCCCCCACCCAGGCCUGCUCAGAAGAACCCAAGCCACUCAGAAGCAGGAGGCAGCCUUCACCCCAACCAGACCAAUAUCCGUUCCAGACUCAGGAUUACAACAAUCUGGGAGAGGGUCAACCAAGUCAGAGUCCCACAUGGCAGAAGAGCUGCUUUAGCUUAAGACUCUUAACUCUUUUUCUUCGGGGCAGGAAAGGUUUGAGCCAAUGAAGGAUGAGGCUUUCCAGGCCCAGGACACAACCUUGAUCCAAGGCCUAGUUGUGGCUUUAAUUUUUGUAAAUCAAGCCUCAAGUUUUUCUUCACUCUUUUAGCCAAAGAUAUGUUUCCCAGGAUGCAUGAAAUAAAUAAAUAAAAUGUACCAAAUUAGAGAUUGUGAGACAUGUAUGUCACUUAAAUCCUUUGUAGGCAAGCAG